CGGGCCGCCUGCCAUGCAGAUGUGUGCAGCUGUGAGGUGGGGGGGGGUUAGGUAGAGAGUCUGCAAAGGGCAGUCUGCCAUCUCAUGGAGGGAUGACAGAAAUGUCUUCAUUCACAGACACUUUGACAAGAACCAGAAAAAUGAAUAUUCCUGUUUACAACAUUUAUACAAACUUAUUAAAAUACAUUUUUUUUAUGUUUGUUUUAAUGGACCCCAAAUGGGGAAAAAACUGCAGUUGCAACAUGACACUAUGCAUUAUGGGUGUUUCUUCUUUUUGCAGGUUCUUAUCAGAAGGUUUGGGGUUUGGUUUCCUCUUUUCCUUCCGCCCCAAGUGUUGAAGUGUCCAUGGACAAGACACUGAGCCCCCACCUCGCUCAUGCAUGAAUCUACCGGAACAGGAGCACAGACGAUCCACCAGGAAUCUGAAGUCUCUCCCGCUCCUCCGGAGGAUAGUGGAGACGAGGAACUAGUGAAUCGCACUGCACCACACAGAAGUCGGAUUCAGGUUUCCGCAGAGACGCCAGCAUUUCGGAUUUCAGCCCCACAGUUGGAGUCCAUGUUUGAGGAAAGUCGGCAGAGCCGUCAGAGCUCAAAGAAGUCUGCAGCUCCUUGAAGAAGUUGGAGGAAAGCAGUUCCUCUGCCUCCCCUUUGAUUUGAUUGUGCUCGCUAAAUACAAGGGACUUAAUCAAGCUUAAAAAUAACAAACAAACAAAUGAAGGCGGUCCUGGGAGAACUCAUUAGAGGCCUUGUCAAACUCCAAGAGACUACAUAAUUACUAUACCAAAAUAAAAAUGCAAAGUUG